rnacentral:rRNA from 1 species
AGUUUGGUUGCAGUUAAAAGCUCGUAGUUGGAUUUCGGGUGGGUUUCAGCGGUCCGCCUAUGGUGAGUACUGCUGUGGCCUAUCUUACUGUCGGGGACCUGCUUCUGGGCUUCAUUGUCCGGGACAGGGAUUCGGCAUGGUUACUUUGAGUAAAUUGGAGUGUUCAAAGCAGGCUUACGCCGUGAACAUUUUAGCAUGGAAUAACAUGAUAGGACUCUGCCCUAUUCUGUUGGCCUGUAGGAGUGGAGUAAUGAUUAAGAGGAACAGUCGGGGGCAUUCGUAUUUCAUUGUCAGAGGUGAAAUUCUUGGAUUUAUGAAAGACGAACUACUGCGAAAGCAUUUGCCAAGGAUGUUUUCAUUAAUCAAGAACGAAAGUUGGGGGCUCGAAGACGAUUAGAUACCGUCGUAGUCUCAACCAUAAACGAUGCCGACUAGGGAUUGGCGGACGUUUUUGCAUGACUCCGUCAGCACCUUGAGAGAAAUCAAAGUUUUUGGGUUCGGGGAAUUUGGUGUUUAAACAANA